CGGCCGGCAUCGAGGAUGAACUGAGGUCUGAAGCUGGGACUGACCACAGCGACCACCACCCAGCCAAGGGCGGCAGCUUCCAGAAGUCCUGAGAGUCCUUUCCCCCCGCUGUGAGGCUCUGGGAGUCUGAAGGUGUAAUGAGAUUAUGCUUAUUAGGCCAAGGCCUCGCAACCUUUUGCAAAGAACACAGCGGAUCGGUCGGAUUAGACCCUGGAACUACACUUUCUACUCUCGGCUCUGAGCAGCCACGCGGCCCCGUGCAGACUUAACUGUUGUCACCCUGCACAUGGUUUGGAUCUCAGCCGCCUGGGUCUCCUCGCCAGAUAAAGGAUGGGGGCAGCUCUUCUCCUUCUCCAAGUCUGGGGAAACACACCCAUCUUGAAAUGGAAGAGGAGGGAGCAGUCUUAUAUUUUGAAAAAAAUCCAUGUGCGGACUAAAAGGAGUUAUUCUUCUCAGUGCAUGUGUGUCGUUUAUAGAGAUUGGCAUGCAGUAACCAUCUCAAAAGUCCCUGAGCUCCAUCAGAAGGCGACCAUCCUGCCUGUUGUCAUGAUGAUAGCAAGUGAGUCCCACGGUGCUGCAUCCUCCAUCCCCAGUGUUCAUCAGAGGCCUUGAAGCUCCGUUGUGGGCAGGGCUCCUGAAAACACCCCUUCCUGCCUGGGACGCAUGCGCAAAGAUGUGGCAGAGCUGUGAUUGAGGCUACCUCCUGUGUCAUGAAGGAAGACAUUGAAAUUAAAGUGCAGCAUUCCCUGAACUGAGCUGGGGCCGAUGAAGUUACUGCUUAUAAAAUACAGGGCUUUCAUAUACAAGGAAAAUUGUAACGUAUUUUCUGAAUAUAAAAAAAAAAAUCAAGGGACAAUGCAUAAAUAUUGUUUUUAGAGAAAAGAUCCAAAAUGUAAAACCUAAAUUUAUAAAGUGCAUGCCAUUUCCCUGA
rnacentral:lncRNA from 1 species